CAUGCGAGUCGAGAGGGUUCGGCCCUCGGCGUACUGCUCAGUAACACGUGGAUAACCUGCCCUAGGGAAGGGGAUAAUCCCGGGAAACUGGGGAUAAUACCCUAUAGGUUACAGAUGCUGGAAUGCUCUGUAAUCAAAAGUUCCGGCGCCCUAGGAUGGAUCUGCGGCCGAUUAGGUUGUUGUUGGGGUAAUGGCCCAACAAGCCAGUAAUCGGUACGGGUUGUGGGAGCAAGAGCCCGGAGUUGGAUUCUGAGACACGAAUCCAGGCCCUACGGGGCGCAGCAGGCGCGAAAACUUUACAAUGCGGGCAACCGUGAUAAGGGAACCUCGAGUGCCUGUAAAUGCAGGCUGUUCAGAUGCCUAAAACACAUCUGGAGAAAGGGCCGGGCAAGACCGGUGCCAGCCGCCGCGGUAAUACCGGCGGCUCGAGUGGUGGCCACUUUUAUUGGGCUUAAAGCGUUCGUAGCUGGGUUGUUAAGUCUCUUGGGAAAUCUGGCGGCUUAACCGUCAGGCGUCUAAGGGAUACUGGCAAUCUUGGAACCGGGAGAGGUGAGGGGUACUUCGGGGGUAGGAGUGAAAUCCUGUAAUCCUCGAGGGACCACCUGUGGCGAAGGCGCCUCACCAGAACGGCUUCGACAGUGAGGGACGAAAGCUGGGGGAGCAAACCGGAUUAGAUACCCGGGUAGUCCCAGCCGUAAACUAUGCGCGGUUAGGUGUAUCGGUGGACCACGAGUUACCGAGGUGCCGAAGGGAAACCGUGAAACGUGCCGCC
rnacentral:rRNA from 1 species